rnacentral:lncRNA from 1 species
CUGGCGCAGUGGCCCGGCUACACUCCCCGACUGCUGUAGCCCCCAACCGUCCCGGCAGAGCUUCUCUUUGGAGGCACUGCCGUCCCCCAGGCCGCGGCGCCGCCAUCCCCACGGCUGGGCUAUUACAACCCCUUCUACUUCCUGAGCCCCAGGGCCGCGGGGGCUUGACCCGGGGGCAGCUGCUGGCAUCAGCACCCCUGCUACAGUCACGGGCCUGGGACCCUGGGUUCCUCAUGUGCAGGCGUCAAUCCGGGCCACUCCAGUGACAAAGGUAGGAUCUGCAGCCCCUUCCCGAAGCCAGAGUGAGACCGGGCAACCGGCAGGCAAAGAAUAAGUUAUUCCAUCCUUGGGCCACGGGUGGCAAGGAUGGUGGAUUUCUUUAUUAUCUUCUUUGUAAAAGCAACCAUUGUCUUAAGCAUUAUGCACCUCAGUGGGAUAAAGGAUAUCUCUAAGUUUGCUAUGCAUUAUAUAAUGGAAGAAAUAGAUGAGGACACAUCAACGGAAGACUUGCUGAAAAUGAUGGUUAUGGCUCUUAUAUACAGAUUAUUAGUUUGUUUUUAUGAGAUAAUUUUCAUUUGGGGAGCAGGUGGAGCUACCCCAGGGAAGCUCCUGGUGGGGCUUCGAGUUGUGACAUGUGAUACAUUAGUGCUUAUUGCACUAAGUCGUGUUUUAGUGAUUCCUUUUUCAAAUGUUAGCAUUACAACGUCCACUAUACGAGCUUUGAUCAAGAAUUUUUUGAUUGCUUCUUUUUUCCCUGCUUUUAUCACACUGUUGUUUCUUCAACAUAAUCGAACAGCCUAUGACAUUGUAGCAGGAACCAUUGUGGUAAAAAGAAAUGGGGUCA